GCUCUCAGGAGCCCGCUACCUUGGAAUGUCGAGGAGCAGCCCCUCUGCUUUCUCUCCCUUCUUCGCUGGAGCCAGCUCCUGCCAUCUGGCCAGCGCAGGACCCAAGAUUAAUACUAAAAUCAACAUAAUGACCCUGGAUGACAGUACAUUAAGCAGUGGAAAGAGAACCAAAGGCCACUAUCACAGGGCUGGGAAGAAAGCUGACCCUGCUCAAUAAGGGCGCAGGGCAGAAGCUGUGGCUCUAACAAGGGGAGAAAAUGAAGAGCUACAAGAGGUGAGACCCACUUGCUGGGGGCCCCCCAAUGCUGCUCACAGUGCAGUGCCUCCCUCUAUCCAGUGUGACCCGAAGAGAAGACACUGCUUAAACCAUGUCCUUCUGCUCAGCAGAGACACACGAACUCUGGGAGCCUUGGGGCACUACUCCUGGGGCAGUGAUGGCGGGGAGUCUUGGGGCUGCCUCUGGAGAAGUGCAGGGACCCAGGACAUGCCAAGGUUCUCCAGAGAUUCUGGAUUACUGACGGCUAGGAGCCCCCAAAACAAGGACCAACCCAGAAGAGGGAUAAAGAAGACUGAGGUUUUCCCCCUCAUGUUAAACUAUACAACUUGAAAGUAGCCAAAUAAAUGUGCGGAUGAGAGAAAUUUAUGAGAGUUCCCUUUCCUCCUAGUUAUGAUCACAUGAUAAGAGACUGUCUCAUGUAUAAAAGCAGCUUUUCUCUCCUCCUGGACAACAGUAGAG
rnacentral:lncRNA from 1 species